rnacentral:lncRNA from 1 species
AUCGAGUCAAAUUAUGUUCAAGGUUUUAGGAUUUUGAAAUUCACAAUGCGUAACUACUAGGAAAUUGCACCAUUGCACACCUUCACAUGCUAUCACCAGAUCGUACACGCGCCAUCGCUAGAAACUACAAAGUGUCGCUGCUACCCGACCAGUAAUCGCCAUAGAAUCAGGCGUGACUGGAUCUGCUUAGUCUCCCUCCUGCAUGCAAAUCCUUGCUAUUGGAUCGCCGUAAGCCAACAUUGUACGUGCAGAUCAACGUUCCUUUUUCAACAAAACUGUCGCACGCACGUUCUUCUUCCUCGAGUAGUUCAACUGGCCGUCACUUUUUCUUUUAGCUCAGACGUGCACAAGCAAAGCCGCCCUACUUUUUGCCUGAUCUCGCUACAGUCCACCUCCAUAAGUCAAAUUAGUUGCGACCUCUUUUUUUCUCUCUUUCUCCCCUUCUCUCUUUCUUUCUACAAAUAGCUCCCUUUUUCUCUCUU